rnacentral:rRNA from 1 species
UACGGAGGGAGCUAGCGUUGUUCGGAAUUACUGGGCGUAAAGCGCACGUAGGCGGCUUUGUAAGUUAGAGGUGAAAGCCCGGGGCUCAACUCCGGAACUGCCUUUAAGACUGCAUCGCUUGAAUCCGGGAGAGGUGAGUGGAAUUCCGAGUGUAGAGGUGAAAUUCGUAGAUAUUCGGAGGAACACCAGUGGCGAAGGCGGCUCACUGGCUCGGUACUGACGCUGAGGUGCGAAAGCGUGGGGGAGCAAACAGG